rnacentral:rRNA from 1 species
GGGCAAGCGUUAUCCGGAUUACUGGGUGUAAAGGGAGCGCAGACGGCCAAGCAAGUCUGAAGUGAAAUGCAUGGGCUCAACCCAUGAAUUGCUUUGGAAACUGUUAGGCUUGAGUGUCGGAGAGGUAAGCGGAAUUCCUAGUGUAGCGGUGAAAUGCGUAGAUAUUAGGAGGAACACCGGAGGCGAAGGCGGCUUACUGGACGACAACUGACGUUGAGGCUCGAAGGCGUGGGGAGCAAACAGGAUUAGAUACCCUGGUAGUCAAGGGCG